UACGAAGGGGGCUAGCGUUGUUCGGAAUUACUGGGCGUAAAGCGCGCGCAGGCGGUUCUCCAAGUCAGUGGUGAAAGCCCGGAGCUCAACUCCGGAAUUGCCAUUGAAACUGUUGAACUCGAGGACGAGAGAGGUGAGUGGAAUUCCCAGUGUAGAGGUGAAAUUCGUAGAUAUUGGGAAGAACACCGGUGGCGAAGGCGGCUCACUGGCUCGUUUCUGACGCUCAGGCGCGACAGCGUGGGGAUCAAACAGGAUUG
rnacentral:rRNA from 1 species